GCGUGAGUGAUGAAGGCCUUCGGGUUGUAAAGCUCCGUGGAGAGGGACGAAUAAGGGCUGGCUAAUAUCCAGUUCGAUGACGGUACCUCUUUAGCAAGCACCGGCUAACUCUGUGCCAGCAGCCGCGGUAAGACAGAGGGUGCAAACGUUGUUCGGAAUUACUGGGCGUAAAGCGCGUGUAGGCGGCUUUGCAAGUCGGAUGUGAAAGCCCUGGGCUCAACCUAGGAAGUGCAUUCGAAACUGCGGAGCUGGAGUCCUGGAGAGGAAGGCGGAAUUCUCGGUGUAGAGGUGGAAUUCGUAGAUAUCGAGAGGAACACCGGUGGCGAAGGCGGCCUUCUGGACGGUGACUGACGCUGAGACGCGAAAGCGUGGGGGGCAAACAGGAUUAGAUACCCUGGUAGUCCACGCCGUAAACGAUGGGUGCUAGGUGUCGCGGGCUUUGACCCCUGCGGUGCCGUAGCUAACGCAUUAAGCACCCCGCCUGGGGAGUACGGCCGCAAGGCUA
rnacentral:rRNA from 1 species